rnacentral:rRNA from 1 species
UACGAAGGGGGCUAGCGUUGUUCGGAAUUACUGGGCGUAAAGCGCGCGCAGGCGGUUUUUCAAGUCAGUGGUGAAAGCCUGGAGCUCAACUCCAGAACUGCCUUUGAUACUGAGAAGCUUGAGUCCGGGAGAGGUGAGUGGAACUGCGAGUGUAGAGGUGAAAUUCGUAGAUAUUCGCAAGAACACCAGUGGCGAAGGCGGCUCACUGGCCCGGUACUGACGCUGAGGUGCGAAAGCGUGGGGAGCAAACAGG